CUAACAAGGGACCACGCCCUCCUCUACCCUGCACUUCCCUUCCCCGGUUUCCUAUUAUUUAAAGAGACCAGGGUCUUCCCUUCCCAGCACUCCCAUAUUAAUUCCACGCAAGUGGAAGUCACCAACAGCUACACCAGCAUUGUCAGAAGGAAUAUUAAUUAAACUGCUGUCGCUGCAGAUUGUGACUGGGGGCCUGUUUGCUUGGAUGUAGGAACAAUUGGAGAAACUGACACUGGUGGUCAGCUGCUAAUGACCCUUCCGCU
rnacentral:lncRNA from 1 species